CGAACUCUCCCUUCGUAUCAUCGGCAGAUUCCCUUGCCAUAGUCAUCGACAGACUUCCUCAUCGUAGCCAUCGGUACAGACACAUCACCGCCUGUAGACUUAGUCACGGUCAACCUCUCCUUCAUCGGCAACCAUCCUCAUCGGCAACUCAUCCUGUAAACAAAACACUGCCGUCUUAUCCUGCCGACCUGGACACGUGCCC
rnacentral:lncRNA from 1 species